UACAGAGGGGGCAAGCGUUGUUCGGAAUUACUGGGCGUAAAGGGCGCGUAGGCGGCCUUCUAAGUCGAACGUGAAAUCCCCGGGCUCAACCCGGGAACUGCGUCCGAUACUGGAAGGCUUGAAUCCGGGAGAGGGAUGUGGAAUUCCAGGUGUAGCGGUGAAAUGCGUAGAUAUCAAGCGGAACACCGGUGGCGAAGGCGGCCUUCUGGACAGUGACUGACGCUGAGACGCGAAAGCGUGGGGAGCAAACAGG
rnacentral:rRNA from 1 species